rnacentral:rRNA from 1 species
UACGAAGGGGGCUAGCGUUGUUCGGAAUCACUGGGCGUAAAGGGUGCGUAGGCGGUCGGGUAAGUCUGAUGUGAAAUCUCACAGCUUAACUGUGAAACUGCAUUGGAUACUAUCCGGCUCGAGGAAUGGAGGGGAGACUGGAAUACUUGGUGUAGCAGUGAAAUGCGUAGAUAUCAAGUGGAACACCAGUGGCGAAGGCGAGUCUCUGGACAUUUCCUGACGCUGAGGCACGAAAGCCAGGGGAGCAAACGGG